UCAGAAAAAUUCUCUCCAUUCUCUAGUCUUCAGAAGCUCUGCGUCUCAACCAAGGAGGAUAAGAAGUCAUGCAAUACAUCAAGAUCCUACCCGCCAUCCAUCCUUGUGUCGUCCCUAGAAGAUUGCUUGCUUUCAAGGAUCUUCAAGUUCUUCGUCUCAAGGCUUGUCAUCCAUCUUUCACGGUGUGUACCCUCAAUCCCCGGUUAGAACGAUCCCUACUUAUUCUAUACUAACAACUACAUGCAGGGUUAAAUUGCGCGCUUACUUUUAGCGUAUCAUUCCAUCUCUCAGUUUCCAUCUCGUGGUGGUUCUAUUCUUGGUCUAGCUCCAUCUCCUCGACCUCCCUCUACCUAUGAUUUUCGCAGCCCAUGCCAAAUCUGCAACCGCAACGGUCAUACAGCCAUCGAUUGCUUCCAUCGACUCAACAUGGCUUAUGAAGGUCGAACACCAAGCACCCGUCUUUCUGCCAUGGCUGCGGGUACAACCUCUUCCCAUGAUCCCUCUGCUUGGCUUCUAGACACAGGAUCAAAUACCCACAUCACCAAUAAUCCUUAUACAUUAACACAUCCUCGAGAAUACCAUGGUUCUGACACGGUUGGUAGCGUUGUCUCCGGUCAAGGACCUGAGCUCAGGGAUGACGCUUUUGGAGGGUCAGAGUAAUAAUGGAUUCUAUCUCGUCAAUCGAUCAUGGUUCAUCAUCAUCCAAUAAAUCGAGUCUUUUUCAUUCCUUUGCAGCAAAUAAAGUUUAUGCGGAUGUGUGGCACUAUCGUUUAGGACAUCCAUCAUCUCAAAUCCUUCGUUGUCUUGGAUAUAGGAUCUCAUUGUUAGACAAUAAUCAUUCAUCCCAAUGUCAUUCUUGUCCGUUGGGAAAAUCCACUAAAUUGCCAUUUAAUUUAUCUGAGUCUGUUACUACAUUUCCUUUUGAAUUAAUACAUA